CCUACGGGGGGCAGCAGUGGGGAAUAUUGCACAAUGGGGGAAACCCUGAUGCAGCAACGCCGCGUGAGUGAGGAAGUAUUUCGGUAUGUAAAGCUCUAUCAGCAGGGAAGAAAAGGACGGUACCUGAGUAAGAAGCCCCGGCUAACUACGUGCCAGAAGCCGCGGUAAUACGUAGGGGGCAGGCGUUAUCCGGAUUUACUGGGUGUAAAGGGGGCGUAGACGGCAGUGAAAGUCUGGAGUGAAAGGCGGGGGCUCAACCCCCGGACUGCUCUGGAAACUGUACGGCUGGAGUGCAGGAGAGGUAAGUGGAAUUCCUAGUGUAGCGGUGAAAUGCGUAGAUAUUAGGAGGAACACCAGUGGCGAAGGCGGCUUACUGGACUGUAACUGACGUUGAGGCUCGAAAGCGUGGGGAGCGAAAGGGAUUAGAUACCCUGGUAUC
rnacentral:rRNA from 1 species